CCUACGGGUGGCAGCAGUGAGGAAUAUUGGUCAAUGGACGAGAGUCUGAACCAGCCAAGUGGCGUGAAGGAUGAAUGCCCUAUGGGUUGUAAACUUCUUUUAUAUGGGAAUAAAAUGUUCCACGUGUGGGAUUUUGUAUGUACCAUAUGAAUAAGGAUCGGCUAACUCCGUGCCAGCAGCCGCGGUAAUACGGAGGAUCCGAGCGUUAUCCGGAUUUAUUGGGUUUAAAGGGAGCGUAGGUGGAUUGUUAAGUCAGUUGUGAAAGUUUGCGGCUCAACCGUAAAAUUGCAGUUGAAACUGGCAGUCUUGAGUACAGUAGAGGUGGGCGGAAUUCGUGGUGUAGCGGUGAAAUGCUUAGAUAUCACGAAGAACUCCGAUUGCGAAGGCAGUUCACUGGACUGCAACUGACACUGAGGCUCGAAAGUGUGGGUAUCAAACAGGAUUAGAUACCCCAGUAGUC
rnacentral:rRNA from 1 species